UACAGAGGGUGCAAACGUUGUUCGGAAUUACUGGGCGUAAAGGGCGCGUAGGCGGCCGUUUGCGUCGGAUGUGAAAGCCCGGGGCUCAACCUCGGAACGGCAUUCGAUACGGGACGGCUGGAGACCGGGAGAGGAGAGUGGAAUAGCCAGUGUAGAGGUGAAAUUCGUAGAUAUUGGCUGGAACACCGGUGGCGAAAGCGGCUCUCUGGCCCGGUUCUGACGCUGAGGCGCGAAAGCGUGGGGAGCAAACAGG
rnacentral:rRNA from 1 species